GGGGAUGUCUUUGGUUUCGACUGGUGGCAGAUCACUUCAGGGAUCGCGGUCCAAGCGCUAACUUGUCAAACUGGCACAAAAAAAUAAAUGCAAAGAAAGAAGACGAAUAUUUCGUUUCUGACGAAGCAGCUUUACUCGCUGCGUGAGCAGUGAGUACCCACACCGAAGGUGCUGUUCCUAACCGGAGGAUGUGGACGCCAACAGGGACUUGUCCGUAUCAUGCUGAUAUGAUGCGGAGACACUGAUUCAGCUGGACACCAGGGGGCUGGUUACAUUGCCGCCCGGGUGCCGAGAUUUUAAAAUGUGACUAUGACCGUAGAAGUUCGUGGAUGACACAUUAGGACGGGAGUUCGAAUCUCCCCAUCUCCA
rnacentral:tmRNA from 1 species